AGGAAUAUUGGUCAAUGGACGAGAGUCUGAACCAGCCAAGUAGCGUGAAGGAUGAAGGUUCUAUGGAUUGUAAACUUCUUUUAUACGGGAAUAAACGGAUCCACGUGUGGAUUUUUGCAUGUACCGUAUGAAUAAGGAUCGGCUAACUCCGUGCCAGCAGCCGCGGUAAUACGGAGGAUCCGGGCGUUAUCCGGAUUUAUUGGGUUUAAAGGGAGCGUAGAUGGGUUGUUAAGUCAGUUGUGAAAGUUUGCGGCUCAACCGUAAAAUUGCAAUUGAUACUGGCAGUCUUGAGUACAGUUGAGGUAGGCGGAAUUCGUGGUGUAGCGGUGAAAUGCUUAGAUAUCACGAAGAACUCCGAUUGCGAAGGCAGCUUACUAACCUGUAACUGACAUUGAUGCUCGAAAGUGUGGGUAUCAAACAGGAUUAGAUACCCUGGUAGUCCACACGGUAAACGAUGAAUACUCGCUGUAGGCGAUAUACAGUCUGCGGCCAAGCGAAAGCAUUAAGUAUUCCACCUGGGGAGUACGCCGGCAACGGUGAAACUCAAAGGAAUUGACGGGGGCCCGCACAAGCGGAGGAACAUGUGGUUUAAUUCGAUGAUACGCGAGGAACCUUACCCGGGCUUAAAUUGCAACCGAAUAUGGCGGAAACGCCAUAGCUAGCAAUAGCGGUUGUGAAGGUGCUGCAUGGUUGUCGUCAGCUCGUGCCGUGAGGUGUCGGCUUAAGUGCCAUAACGAGCGCAACCCUUGCCGAUAGUUACUAACAGGUUAUGCUGAGGACUCUGUCGGGACUGCCAUCGUAAGAUGUGAGGAAGGUGGGGAUGACGUCAAAUCAGCACGGCCCUUACGUCCGGGGCUACACACGUAUUACAAUGGGGGGUACAGAGGGCUGCUACCACGCAAGUGGAUGCCAAUCCCAAAAACCUCUCUCAGUUCGGAUUGAAGUCUGCAACCCGACUUCAUGAAGCUGGAUUCGCUAGUAAUCGCGCAUCAGCCACGGCGCGGUGAAUACGUUCCCG
rnacentral:rRNA from 1 species